GGUUAAGCGACUAAGCGUACACGGUGGAUGCCCUGGCAGUCAGAGGCGAUGAAGGACGUGCUAAUCUGCGAUAAGCGUCGGUAAGGUGAUAUGAACCGUUAUAACCGGCGAUUUCCGAAUGGGGAAACCCAGUGUGUUUCGACACACUAUCAUUAACUGAAUCCAUAGGUUAAUGAGGCGAACCGGGGGAACUGAAACAUCUAAGUACCCCGAGGAAAAGAAAUCAACCGAGAUUCCCCCAGUAGCGGCGAGCGAACGGGGAGCAGCCCAGAGCCUGAAUCAGUGUGUGUGUUAGUGGAAGCGUCUGGAAAGGCGCGCGAUACAGGGUGACAGCCCCGUACACAAAAAUGCACAUGCUGUGAGCUCGAUGAGUAGGGCGGGACACGUGGUAUCCUGUCUGAAUAUGGGGGGACCAUCCUCCAAGGCUAAAUACUCCUGACUGACCGAUAGUGAACCAGUACCGUGAGGGAAAGGCGAAAAGAACCCCGGCGAGGGGAGUGAAAAAGAACCUGAAACCGUGUACGUACAAGCAGUGGGAGCACGCUUAGGCGUGUGACUGCGUACCUUUUGUAUAAUGGGUCAGCGACUUAUAUUCUGUAGCAAGGUUAACCGAAUAGGGGAGCCGAAGGGAAACCGAGUCUUAACUGGGCGUUAAGUUGCAGGGUAUAGA
rnacentral:rRNA from 1 species